rnacentral:rRNA from 1 species
UACGGGGGGGGCAAGCGUUGUUCGGAAUUACUGGGCGUAAAGGGCUCGUAGGCGGCCAACUAAGGCAGACGUGAAAUCCCUCGGCUUAACCGGGGAACUGCGUCUGAUACUGGUUGGCUUGAAUCCGGGAGAGGGAUGUGGAAUUCCAGGUGUAGCGGUGAAAUGCGUAGAUAUCAGGAGGAACACCGGUGGCGAAGGCGGGUCUCUGGGCCGAUACUGACGCUGAGGAGCGAAAGCGUGGGGAGCGAACAG